UCUACGUGUACAAGGUCCUGAAGCAG
rnacentral:piRNA from 1 species